GGAUAGAUGUUUAAUUUAGUAUUUCUACUUCUUAUGUUGUAUAUUUACUUAUUAUUUAUUUUACUAUACAUUUUUCAGAUAUGUGUUUAAUUUAUUUUUUCUACUUCUUAUAUUGUAUAUUUAUUUAUUUUUUUAUUUUUUUCUUAUAUUUUAUUUUUACUUAUUCUAUUAUUUUUUUUGUUUUUAUAUCAAAAGAUAAUAUUACGUUAGAUGUUUAAUGUAAUAUUUUUAUUUCUUAUAUUGUAUAUUUACUUAUUAUUUAUUUUUUAUAUUUUAUAUUUACCUAUUGUAAUAUUAUGAUAAAUGCUUAAUAUAAUAUUUAUAUUUUGUAUGUUGUAUAUUUACUUAUUAUUUAUUUUACUAUACAUUUUUCUGAUAGAUGUUUAAUUUAGUUUUUUUUCAUUUCUUAAUUUUAUAUUUACUUAUUAUUUAUUUUUUCGUAGAUUGUAUAUUUACUUAUUAUAAUUUUUUUGCUUUUAUAUCAAAUGAUAUUAUUAUGAUAUAUGUUAGUUUAUGUAAUAUUUCUAUUUCUUAUAUUGUAAUUUACUUAUUAUUUAUUUUUCUUUAUAUUGUAUAGUAACUUAUUAUUUAUUUUUGUUUUUUAGUAAUAAUUUCAUGUGGCUUUUUUUGGAAGAGAGAUUUUAUGCUUAUGUUGACACUCCACGGAGCCCUAAUAGUCCAUUUUAUCAGUUUUUUUUUAAUUUCUUAAUUUUAUAUUUACUUAUUGUUUAUUUUUUCUUAUAUUGUAUAUUUACUUAUUCUAAUUUUCUUGCUUUGAUAGAUGUUAAUUUAAUGUAAUAUUUAUAUUGCUUAUAUUGUGUGUUUACUUAUUAAUUAUUUUUACUUAUAUUGUAUAUUUAUUAUUAUGAUUAUUUGUUGUUAGUAAUAAUGCAAUGUGGCAUCUUUUGGAAAAAGAAUUUUAUGCUUAGGUGGACACUCCAUGGAGCCUCAAAUAGUCUAUUUUAUUAGUAUAGAUUGGUUUAGUAGAUGUGUAUACAUUUUGUGUGUACAUUCAACUAGAUCCAAAUGUUUUGUAUGUAACAAGUCAAUUACGAACUAACUAACUAAGUGAAGAUGUAGUAGUCAUUAAUUUGGUUAAAGCCAACAAAGAGUGGAAUGUUGGGUAAAGACUAGCUAGUUGUUAAGUUUAAAGAGGUUGUUAAAUUAGAAGUGAGUUAAAAUGUGUAUGAACUAAAAUCAUU
rnacentral:lncRNA from 1 species